rnacentral:rRNA from 1 species
UACGUAGGUGGCAAGCGUUGUCCGGAAUUAUUGGGCGUAAAGCGCGCGCAGGCGGUUCCUUAAGUCUGAUGUGAAAGCCCACGGCUCAACCGUGGAGGGUCAUUGGAAACUGGGGAACUUGAGUGCAGAAGAGAAGAGUGGAAUUCCACGUGUAGCGGUGAAAUGCGUAGAGAUGUGGAGGAACACCAGUGGCGAAGGCGACUCUUUGGUCUGUAACUGACGCUGAGGCGCGAAAGCGUGGGGAGCAAACAGG